rnacentral:rRNA from 1 species
CCGUAGCGAACAGCUCAGUAACACGUGGCCAAGCUACCCUAUGGACGUGGACACCCUCGGGAAACUGAGGCUAAUCCGCGAUACGGCUCCCACGCUUGAAUGCGGGGAGCCGGAAACGCUCCGGCGCCAUAGGAUGCGGCUGCGGCCGAUUAGGUAGACGGUGGGGUAACGGCCCACCGUGCCGAUAAUCGGUACGGGAUGUGAGAGCAAAUAGCCCGGAGAUGGAAUCUGAGACAAGAUUCCAGGCCCUACGGGGCGCAGCAGGCGCGAAACCUUUACACUGCACGCCAGUGCGAUAAGGGGACCCCGAGUGCGAGGGCAUACAGUCCUCGCUUUUGUACACCGUAAGGAGGUGUACGAAUAAGGGCUGGGCAAGACCGGUGCCAGCCGCCGCGGUAAUACCGGCAGCCCGAGUGAUGGCCGCUGUUAUUGGGCCUAAAGCGUCCGUAGCCGGCCGAACAAGUCUGUCGGGAAAUCCAUCCGCCUAACGGAUGGGCGUCCGGCAGAAACUGUUCGGCUUGGGGCCGGAAGAUCCGAGGGGUACGUCCGGGGUAGGAGUGAAAUCCUGUAAUCCUGGACGGACCGCCGGUGGCGAAAGCGCCUCGGA